rnacentral:ncRNA from 2 species
AAUAAAUCGAGAGCGAUGGGGAGAGAAUUGGCUCGGUGAUCCAUCCAGCAACCGAUUUCGUCAUAAGUCGAAGUACGGUGCUCCAACCAACCCUGUUGAGGGAAUGAUUCGUC